rnacentral:rRNA from 1 species
UGAAUACGAGAUGCUACGGCGUCGAAGCAGUGUAUGUCAGACUUCCAAGAAAAGCUCGCAAUGUCAUAAAUAAAGAAUGCCUGUACCAUAACCGACACAGGUGGGUAGGUAGAGUAUACUAAGGGGCGCGAGAUAACUCUCUCUAAGGAACUCGGCAAAAUAACUCCGUAACUUCGGGAGAAGGAGUGCCUUCUUUAAGAAGGUUGCAAUAACAAGAUCCAAGCAACUGUUUAUCAAAAACACAGGUCUCCGCUAAGUCGUAAGACGAUGUAUGGGGGCUGACGCCUGCCCAGUGCCAGAAGGUUAAAGAAGUUGGUUAGCUUUUGCGAAGCUGAUGACUGAAGCCCUGGUGAACGGCGGCCGUAACGAUAACGGUCCUAAGGUAGCGAAAUUCCUUGUCGGGUAAGUUCCGACCCGCACGAAAGGCGUAAUGAUUUGGAUACUGUCUCGGAGAGGGACUCGGUGAAAUAGACUUGUCUGUGAAGAUGCGGACUACCUGCACCAGGACAGAAAGACCCUAUGAAGCUUUACUGUAACUUGAAAUUGAAAUUGGACUUUAUUUGCGCAGUAUAGGUGGAAGGCGUUGAAAGUAAUCUUGCGGGAUUAGUGGAGCCAUCAGUGAGAUACCACUCCUAUAAUGUUAGAUUUCUAACUUUGGAUCAUGAUCUGGUCAAAGAACAGUUUCAGGCGGGCAGUUUGACUGGGGCGGUCGCCUCCCAAAUGGUAACGGAGGCGUACAAAGGUUUCCUCUGAACGGGUAAAAAUCGUAUCUAGAGUGUAAAGGCAUAAGGAAGCUUGACUGUGAGACCUACAAGUCGAGCAGGGACGAAAGUCGGUCUUAGUGAUCUGACGGUGCUGAGUGGAAAGGCCGUCACUCAACGGAUAAAAGUUACUCUAGGAUAACAGGCUGAUCUCCCCCAAGAGUUCACAUCGACGGGGAGGUUUGGCACCUCGAUGUCGGCUCAUCGCAUCCUGGGGCGGUAGUACGUCCCAAGGGUUGGGCUGUUCGCCCAUGAAAGCGGUACGCGAGCUGGGUUCAGAACGUCGUGAGACAGUUCGGUCCAUAUCCGGUGUAGGCGUUAGAAUAUUGAGAGGAGCCUUCUUUAGUACGAGAGGACCGAGAAGGACAUACCUCUGGUGUACCAGUUAUCGUGCCAACGGUAAACGCUGGGUAGCUAUGUAUGGAGAGGAUAACCGCUGAAAGCAUCUAAGUGGGAAGCCCACCUCAAGAUGAGUAUUCGC